rnacentral:rRNA from 1 species
UGAGCUCGAUGAGUAGGGCGGGACACGUGGUAUCCUGUCUGAAUAUGGGGGGACCAUCCUCCAAGGCUAAAUACUCCUGACUGACCGAUAGUGAACCAGUACCGUGAGGGAAAGGCGAAAAGAACCCCGGCGAGGGGAGUGAAAAAGAACCUGAAACCGUGUACGUACAAGCAGUGGGAGCCUCUUAAUGGGGUGACUGCGUACCUUUUGUAUAAUGGGUCAGCGACUUAUAUUCUGUAGCAAGGUUAACCGAAUAGGGGAGCCGAAGGGAAACCGAGUCUUAACUGGGCGUUAAGUUGCAGGGUAUAGACCCGAAACCCGGUGAUCUAGCCAUGGGCAGGUUGAAGGUUGGGUAACACUAACUGGAGGACCGAACCGACUAAUGUUGAAAAAUUAGCGGAUGACUUGUGGCUGGGGGUGAAAGGCCAAUCAAACCGGGAGAUAGCUGGUUCUCCCCGAAAGCUAUUUAGGUAGCGCCUCGUGAAUUCAUCUCCGGGGGUAGAGCACUGUUUCGGCAAGGGGGUCAUCCCGACUUACCAACCCGAUGCAAACUGCGAAUACCGGAGAAUGUUAUCACGGGAGACACACGGCGGGUGCUAACGUCCGUCGUGAAGAGGGAAACAACCCAGACCGCCAGCUAAGGUCCCAAAGUCAUGGUUAAGUGGGAAACGAUGUGGGAAGGCCCAGACAGCCAGGAUGUUGGCUUAGAAGCAGCCAUCAUUUAAAGAAAGCGUAAUAGCUCACUGGUCGAGUCGGCCUGCGCGGAAGAUGUAACGGGGCUAAACCAUGCACCGAAGCUGCGGCAGCGACGCUUAUGCGUUGUUGGGUAGGGGAGCGUUCUGUAAGCCUGUGAAGGUGUGCUGUGAGGCAUGCUGGAGGUAUCAGAAGUGCGAAUGCUGACAUAAGUAACGAUAAAGCGGGUGAAAAGCCCGCUCGCCGGAAGACCAAGGGUUCCUGUCCAACGUUAAUCGGGGCAGGGUGAGUCGACCCCUAAGGCGAGGCCGAAAGGCGUAGUCGAUGGGAAACAGGUUAAUAUUCCUGUACUUGGUGUUACUGCGAAGGGGGGACGGAGAAGGCUAUGUUGGCCGGGCGACGGUUGUCCCGGUUUAAGCGUGUAGGCUGGUUUUCCAGGCAAAUCCGGAAAACCAAGGCUGAGGCGUGAUGACGAGGCACUACGGUGCUGAAGCGACAAAUGCCCUGCUUCCAGGAAAAGCCUCUAAGCAUCAGGUAACAUCAAAUCGUACCCCAAACCGACACAGGUGGUCAGGUAGAGAAUACCAAGGCGCUUGAGAGAACUCGGGUGAAGGAACUAGGCAAAAUGGUGCCGUAACUUCGGGAGAAGGCACGCUGAUAUGUAGGUGAAGCGACUUGCUCGUGGAGCUGAAAUCAGUCGAAGAUACCAGCUGGCUGCAACUGUUUAUUAAAAACACAGCACUGUGCAAACACGAAAGUGGACGUAUACGGUGUGACGCCUGCCCGGUGCCGGAAGGUUAAUUGAUGGGGUUAGCGGCAACGCGAAGCUCUUGAUCGAAGCCCCGGUAAACGGCGGCCGUAACUAUAACGGUCCUAAGGUAGCGAAAUUCCUUGUCGGGUAAGUUCCGACCUGCACGAAUGGCGUAAUGAUGGCCAGGCUGUCUCCACCCGAGACUCAGUGAAAUUGAACUCGCUGUGAAGAUGCAGUGUACCCGCGGCAAGACGGAAAGACCCCGUGAACCUUUACUAUAGCUUGACACUGAACAUUGAGCCUUGAUGUGUAGGAUAGGUGGGAGGCUUUGAAGUGUGGACGCCAGUCUGCAUGGAGCCGACCUUGAAAUACCACCCUUUAAUGUUUGAUGUUCUAACGUUGGCCCCUAAUCGGGGUUGCGGACAGUGUCUGGUGGGUAGUUUGACUGGGGCGGUCUCCUCCUAAAGAGUAACGGAGGAGCACGAAGGUUGGCUAAUCCUGGUCGGACAUCAGGAGGUUAGUGCAAUGGCAUAAGCCAGCUUGACUGCGAGCGUGACGGCGCGAGCAGGUGCGAAAGCAGGUCAUAGUGAUCCGGUGGUUCUGAAUGGAAGGGCCAUCGCUCAACGGAUAAAAGGUACUCCGGGGAUAACAGGCUGAUACCGCCCAAGAGUUCAUAUCGACGGCGGUGUUUGGCACCUCGAUGUCGGCUCAUCACAUCCUGGGGCUGAAGUAGGUCCCAAGGGUAUGGCUGUUCGCCAUUUAAAGUGGUACGCGAGCUGGGUUUAGAACGUCGUGAGACAGUUCGGUCCCUAUCUGCCGUGGGCGCUGGAGAACUGAGGGGGGCUGCUCCUAGUACGAGAGGACCGGAGUGGACGCAUCACUGGUGUUCGGGUUGUCAUGCCAAUGGCACUGCCCGGUAGCUAAAUGCGGAAGAGAUAAGUGCUGAAAGCAUCUAAGCACGAAACUUGCCCCGAGAUGAGUUCUCCCUGAGACUUAGAGUCUCCUGAAGGAACGUUGAAGACGACGACG